CUGAUGUGCUGAAGAUGGCCAGUAAAGCACAAGCCUCCAACCCAGUUGUCGAGGGGCAACCACCCACAACACCAAAGAGGCGAAGAAGAGGAAGGCCCCCUCUCAGCCAAGAUUCAGAAGCCCUCUGAAGAUUCCCAAGACAACCCGGAAGGGAAAAGAGAGUCUUCGAGGGAGUUCUAGGAAAAAAGCCACUCCCGAAAGACCGCUGCUUCAAGAAAACCUGAGGAAGGGAGAGGGCCAGCACUAUCCAGCCACUCUGACCAGCUGAACGAGGAACUCAAUCAGAAGGAGCCACAGCAGGACCAAGAAAGUGAGGAGACUUCCACCAUCUUCAGGGUCUCCCUGGACAGCCAGUAAUUUCAGGGCAAGUUCAGAGGACUAGAUCUAUCUGAGAGGUCUCCACAGGUCUGACCCCAGAGAAAUAGCCAAAAGGGUCUAUGGUACAUUUUACACACCACAGGGUACCCCCCGGUGAUGAAA
rnacentral:lncRNA from 1 species